GGCACCUUUUAACAGUAGCAUUAUAAAAUCGAAUCUCUUUUUUAGCUACUGCGUCAUUGGCACACCAGGACAGGGCAACAGCUUUUGAUUCAAUAAUAACCCAAGAACGGACUAUACUAUACUUUAUUACAGGACAAGAGCCAACAACUGAUUUAAGUAACCUAGUUGACUAUGACAGGGCAGUAUACAACAGACAUCAGCUGAUACGUACUAUAUUCAACUAUGUUCUACAUCAAAGAAUGAAUAACAUCCGAAUGUGCGUGAAUGACGAAGACAAAAAAUGCAAAUUGCUCGGAAUAAUAACGCGUGCAUUAAAUCCUG